GGACGGAGGAUGCAAGUGUUAUCCGGAAUCACUGGGCGUAAAGCGUCUGUAGGUGGUUUAAUAAGUCAACUGUUAAAUCUUGAGGCUCAACUUCAAAAAUCGCAGUCGAAACUAUUAGACUAGAGUAUAGUAGGGGUAAAGGGAAUUUCCAGUGGAGCGGUGAAAUGCGUAGAGAUUGGAAAGAACACCAAUGGCGAAAGCACUUUACUGGGCUAUCACUUGACACUGAGAGACGAAAAGCUAGGGUAGCAAAUGGG
rnacentral:rRNA from 1 species